rnacentral:rRNA from 1 species
CUCAGGACGAACGCUGGCGGCGUGCCUAAUACAUGCAAGUCGAGCGGACAGAUGGGAGCUUGCUCCCUGAUGUUAGCGGCGGACGGGUGAGUAACACGUGGGUAACCUGCCUGUAAGACUGGGAUAACUCCGGGAAACCGGGGCUAAUACCGGAUGGUUGUUUGAACCGCAUGGUUCAGACAUAAAAGGUGGCUUCGGCUACCACUUACAGAUGGACCCGCGGCGCAUUAGCUAGUUGGUGAGGUAACGGCUCACCAAGGCGACGAUGCGUAGCCGACCUGAGAGGGUGAUCGGCCACACUGGGACUGAGACACGGCCCAGACUCCUACGGGAGGCAGCAGUAGGGAAUCUUCCGCAAUGGACGAAAGUCUGACGGAGCAACGCCGCGUGAGUGAUGAAGGUUUUCGGAUCGUAAAGCUCUGUUGUUAGGGAAGAACAAGUGCCGUUCAAAUAGGGCGGCACCUUGACGGUACCUAACCAGAAAGCCACGGCUAACUACGUGCCAGCAGCCGCGGUAAUACGUAGGUGGCAAGCGUUGUCCGGAAUUAUUGGGCGUAAAGGGCUCGCAGGCGGUUUCUUAAGUCUGAUGUGAAAGCCCCCGGCUCAACCGGGGAGGGUCAUUGGAAACUGGGGAACUUGAGUGCAGAAGAGGAGAGUGGAAUUCCACGUGUAGCGGUGAAAUGCGUAGAGAUGUGGAGGAACACCAGUGGCGAAGGCGACUCUCUGGUCUGUAACUGACGCUGAGGAGCGAAAGCGUGGGGAGCGAACAGGAUUAGAUACCCUGGUAGUCCACGCCGUAAACGAUGAGUGCUAAGUGUUAGGGGGUUUCCGCCCCUUAGUGCUGCAGCUAACGCAUUAAGCACUCCGCCUGGGGAGUACGGUCGCAAGACUGAAACUCAAAGGAAUUGACGGGGGCCCGCACAAGCGGUGGAGCAUGUGGUUUAAUUCGAAGCAACGCGAAGAACCUUACCAGGUCUUGACAUCCUCUGACAAUCCUAGAGAUAGGACGUCCCCUUCGGGGGCAGAGUGACAGGUGGUGCAUGGUUGUCGUCAGCUCGUGUCGUGAGAUGUUGGGUUAAGUCCCGCAACGAGCGCAACCCUUGAUCUUAGUUGCCAGCAUUCAGUUGGGCACUCUAAGGUGACUGCCGGUGACAAACCGGAGGAAGGUGGGGAUGACGUCAAAUCAUCAUGCCCCUUAUGACCUGGGCUACACACGUGCUACAAUGGACAGAACAAAGGGCAGCGAAACCGCGAGGUUAAGCCAAUCCCACAAAUCUGUUCUCAGUUCGGAUCGCAGUCUGCAACUCGACUGCGUGAAGCUGGAAUCGCUAGUAAUCGCGGAUCAGCAUGCGCGGNGGGAAUACGNUCCCGGGGCCUUGUACACACCGCCCGUCACACCACGAGAGUUUGUAACACCCGAAGUCGGUGAGGUAACCUUUAAGGAGCCAGCCGCCGAAGGUGGGACGAUGAUUGGGUGA